UACGAAGGGGGCUAGCGUUGUUCGGAAUUACUGGGCGUAAAGGGCGCGUAGGCGGCUUGCCGAGUCAGGCGUGAAAGCCCCGGGCUCAACCUGGGAGGUGCGCUUGAUACUGGUAGGCUUGAGGGCGGGAGAGGAUGGUGGAAUUCCCAGUGUAGAGGUGAAAUUCGUAGAUAUUGGGAAGAACACCGGUGGCGAAGGCGGCCAUCUGGACCGCCCCUGACGCUGAGGCGCGAAAGCGUGGGGAGCAAACAGG
rnacentral:rRNA from 1 species